rnacentral:rRNA from 1 species
AACGAACGCUGGCGGCAUGCCUAACACAUGCAAGUCGAACGAGACCUUCGGGUCUAGUGGCGCACGGGUGCGUAACGCGUGGGAACCUGCCCUUAGGUUCGGCAUAACUCCCCGAAUGGGGUGCUAAUACCGGAUAAUGUCUUCGGACCAAAGAUUUAUCGCCUUUGGAUGGGCGCGCGUUGGAUUAGCUAGUUGGUAGGGUAAAAGCCUACCAAGGCGACGAUCCAUAGAUGGUCUGAGAGGCAGAGCAGCCACACUGGGACUGAGACACGGCCCAGACUCCUACGGGAGGCAGCAGUGGGGAAUAUUGGAAAGUGGGCGGAAGCAUGAUCCAGCAAGGACGCGUGAGUGAUGAAGGCCUGAGGGUUGUAAAGCUCUUUUACCCGGGAUGAUAAUGACAGUACCGGGAGAAUAAGCACCGGCUAACUCCGUG